rnacentral:rRNA from 1 species
CUACGGGGGGCUCCAGUGAGGAAUAUUGGACAAUGGGGGAAACCCUGAUCCAGCAAUGCCGCGUGAAUGAAGAAGGCCUUAGGGUUGUAAAGUUCUUUCACCCGUGAAGAUGAUGACGGUAACGGGAGAAGAAGCCCCGGCUAACUCUGUGCCAGCAGCCGCGGUAAGACAGAGGGGGCUAGCGUUGUUCGGAAUAACUGGGCGUAAAGGGUGCGUAGGCGGUUGUUUAAGUAAAGUGUUAAAGCUCUGGGCUCAACCCAGGAAUCGCAUUUUAAACUGGACAGCUAGAGUGUGGUAGAGGAAAGUGGAAUUUCUAGUGUAGAGGUGGAAUUCGUAGAUAUUAGAAGGAACACCAGAGGCGAAGGCGGCUUUCUGGACCACAACUGACGCUGAGGCACGAAAGCGUGGGGAGCAAACAGGAUUAGAUACCCCUGUAGUC